rnacentral:rRNA from 1 species
CGUAAUAGCUCACUGGUCGAGUCGGCCUGCGCGGAAGAUGUAACGGGGCUAAACCAUGCACCGAAGCUGCGGCAGCGACACUAUGUGUUGUUGGGUAGGGGAGCGUUCUGUAAGCCUGUGAAGGUGGCCUGUGAGGGUUGCUGGAGGUAUCAGAAGUGCGAAUGCUGACAUAAGUAACGAUAAAGCGGGUGAAAAGCCCGCUCGCCGGAAGACCAAGGGUUCCUGUCCAACGUUAAUCGGGGCAGGGUGAGUCGACCCCUAAGGCGAGGCCGAAAGGCGUAGUCGAUGGGAAACAGGUUAAUAUUCCUGUACUUGGUGUUACUGCGAAGGGGGGACGGAGAAGGCUAUGUUGGCCGGGCGACGGUUGUCCCGGUUUAAGCGUGUAGGCUGGUUUUCCAGGCAAAUCCGGAAAACCAAGGCUGAGGCGUGAUGACGAGGCACUACGGUGCUGAAGCAACAAAUGCCCUGCUUCCAGGAAAAGCCUCUAAGCAUCAGGUAACAUCAAAUCGUACCCCAAACCGACACAGGUGGUCAGGUAGAGAAUACCAAGGCGCUUGAGAGAACUCGGGUGAAGGAACUAGGCAAAAUGGUGCCGUAACUUCGGGAGAAGGCACGCUGAUAUGUAGGUGAAGUCCCUCGCGGAUGGAGCUGAAAUCAGUCGAAGAUACCAGCUGGCUGCAACUGUUUAAUUAAAAACACAGCACUGUGCAAACACGAAAGUGGACGUAUACGGUGUGACGCCUGCCCGGUGCCGGAAGGUUAAUUGAUGGGGUCAGCAGCAAGCGAA